GGCGUAGCUCAGCCUGGUAGAGUGCUUGCUUUGGGAGCAAGAUGUCGGAGGUUCGAAUCCUCUCGCC
rnacentral:tRNA from 1 species